rnacentral:rRNA from 1 species
UACGGGGGGGGCAAGCGUUGUUCGGAAUUACUGGGCGUAAAGGGCUCGUAGGCGGCCAACUAAGUCGGAUGUGAAAUCCCCAGGCUCAACUUGGGAACUGCAUCCGAUACUGGAUGGCUUGAGUUCGGGAGAGGGAUGCAGAAUUCCAGGUGUAGCGGUGAAAUGCGUAGAUAUCUGGAGGAAUACCGGUGGCGAAGGCGGCAUCCUGGACCGACAUUGACGCUGAGGAGCGAAAGCUAGGGGAGCAAACGGGG